ensembl:snoRNA K10G6.11 ncRNA
CACCGUCUCAUCACUCAUCUCGUAUUGGCUCGGCGAGCAAGGCGAUCGGCUCGAGCUCGACACGAAAUGGGAGCAUUUUCAGCUGUUGCUGGAUGUGCAUACGCUC